GACGAAGGGGGCAAGCGUUGUUCGGAAUUACUGGGCGUAAAGGGCGCGUAGGCGGUCGUGACAAGUCACUUGUGAAAUCUCCGGGCUUAACUCGGGAACGGUCAAGUGAUACUGUCGGACUAGAGUACAGAAGGGGCAACUGGAAUUCUCGGUGUAGCGGUGAAAUGUGUAGAUAUCGAAAGGAACAUCAGUGGCGAAGGCGGCAGUCUGGCUCUAUACUGACACUGAGGCGCGAAGGCGUGGGGAGCAAACAGG
rnacentral:rRNA from 1 species